rnacentral:lncRNA from 1 species
CAGCUCCAGGACGUUUCUGUAGUCCUCUUAACUCGGGAUUUAUUGCACUGUGCUUUAUGGGUCUCAGGAUUGGUUAUAAAUACUGUCUAGCCAGUGAUUCUUACACAUCUGUGCAGCACAUCUGAGCUUGGGAGCAGCUCUAAGAGUUUUGAUUAGCUACCCUUCAGCAGAUCAUGAAGCCGAACCUUUAAAAGUUUUAAAGAAAAGGAUUUCAGAUAGAUUUUCUGGAUUUGGGCUCUACCUCAUUGCUUGCACUUCCAUAAGACAACCAGCAUGAAGGGCAGUACAGGAUAGCUGGCGGGACUGGAUUCACCAGCUGAGAUCUCAGCUGUCACCUGCAGCACCUGGGAAGAGUAAUCAGCUUGGGGCACAUUUCCUGGCUGGUCUGAGGGGUUCUCACAGACCACAGACAUCUUUUAACCAUUCCAUACCAAGAGAAGAUUUUGUUUCCAGACACUUCUCACAUUUGGCUGUCACAAGGAAGUUAAAGUUAAAUACUGGUUGAGGUCGUAGUGCCCUGCAGGAAUCAUUUUGGGGGCUAUCUCUGCUUAUUGGGCUUGGCUCCACAAGUUACUGAGCUCUUCUAGGCUGGAACAAAUAGAAUAUAAUAAAGACAACACAGAUUGAUGGCUGACUUGUGUUUACAGCUGUAGGGAGUUUUCUUAUUCUAUUAAGUUUUCAGCUGAAGUUCUGACUGAGUCAAACUUAAGAUGUGAGUGAAUCAAGAUAGGGCUUCAACUCUGGAUUGAAACUUGUAUCUGGAAAUUGGGGUCGAGCCCCCUGUGAUCCCAGGUCCACGCUUCACGUGAGGGGGAGUUCAUCUCUGCUUGCAAAUGAAGGUCUGCACGAACAGUAGGCUUUGACACCAGCUGGUCUAGAGGCAGGAUAAGGGGAAGUUCAAAGCAAAGGCUUUGAAGAAAACACUUCAGUCGGGGAGGAAGGACUUCCCACAUGGGCUGAGUCAUGAGGGCAGCGAUGGCAUCAGUGUCUACAGCUGAGGUGUGGAAGGAGAAAACCAACCACCAGGUUUUGGGUGAAUAUUCUGAUCAGUUCUUAUCUGAUCUUUCCCAGUUUCUACCGAGGACAACCUGGGGCAGAAAGGUGGCACUUGAGUGCCAGGAGCCCUGCAGACCCCUGCUGGCCCAGGCUCCAGCACCAUCUCUGCUGCCCAGAAGACAGCAGCAUCUUAGGACUGAUGGUCAAAUGCAUUCCUCACUGCUUUAAUGAGACUUUCUGAUUUGUCAUUAUCCAUUUGGUUGAUUUUCUCCUCUGCAGCAGAUAAUAGUUUUAUACAAAGAUUAUAGAGUGAGUGUUCCUAGACUGGAAGACAUGGGAUUUCUCUGUACUUGGGUCACUUUUGUUUGAUCCUCACUAAUUCCUUUCCCCAGAAACAGUGACAUCCUAAAGAAGAAAUACUGCAAAUGCCUCAUUCUCUGCACAGGGGUAUAACUUCCCAGUGAGUUUGUUUUCUGCUUGCUAGCACUUACUAAUGCCUAAAAACAACUUCUGCAAGAGGAAAGCACAAGGCAGUAGCUCUUUGCCCAUGCAAUUACAGUGAUUGUCUACACAAAUCAAGUGUUUUUGUAUGCAAAUGGCCAGUAAGCAUCUAGUGGAUGCAAUGGCUUGAAUUUCAAUUUGCAGUGAAUAGUCACAUAUGCAAACACGUGUUAAAAUGUGUAUAUAUUAAUAUCCUACAAUCAUCAACCUCCUUUUCAAAUAUUAUUUGGCUCACGUCAUUUAAAAACUCUUCAGCGUGCCAUAUGUAACCUCUUAGAAGUGAAUAGUGAUUCUUCUAAAAGUAAUGAUCACUGUUAACUCCCAGUCACUAUAAUGCUUCCAGAUACGGUAGAAAGUGUAUUCCCAAUAAUUAGUAAUUAGCAGUAACUAUUUUAUGGAGCAGAAAAGAGUUGAUUACAGUUGUUUUAUCAGAUGGUAUAAUAAUAGAAAAAAAUCUUCUUUCAGAGAAAGGAGGAAAAGGGAUGAUUUCACAAAGUUGGCUCUCACUUGCCAGCCGUCCAUCACCGAAACUACAGCUUCAGGGAUCAGGAAUUAUUGAUUUCAAGGGGAUUAACUCUCAGCUACAGAUAGUUCAGUUUCAGGGCAUCAUUUGUAAGCUGAGCUGUAGCCAUAAAGCAGCUGGCACUGGGGGCCUGAUCCAAAACUCACUCGAAUGACUCGGCCAGCAAUUUCAGGGGGAUCUUUGGGUUAAUAAUUCCCCAGCUGGGAGGGCAGCUUGAGAGAAGUCUCAGUUCUCAGAACAUCUGGCACAAGGGAGAGGCCCGUUUACAGACAAUUUCUUCAAGACACGAGAAAAGUGGUUUCUGAAAUGAGGAAGGGGCUUCUUUCACGACAGUGAGCCGUGUGCACCUGGCACACAUUAAUUCCUUCACAGCCUCUGCUGCCUUUUGAGCUGGCUGAGAAAGAAGGACAGGUAAACAUCAGGUCUGCUCACACCAGGCUCUCCCUUCUAAUGCUUACCGAGUUAAUUAAUUUUUGCUCAAUUUGAUUUGACAUUCAGAUCUGUGAUAUGUUUAUCCUUCUAAUGGGCACUUCUCCCUUUUCCUUGCUGCCUCUAAAAGGUUUAAUAAAUGACGGAGACUUUUUGGGUGCGUAAUGAGC